CUACUAUCCAGCGAAACCACAGCCAAGGGAACGGGCUUGGCGGAAUCAGCGGGGAAAGAAGACCCUGUUGAGCUUGACUCUAGUCCGACUUGUGGAAAUGACUUGAGAGGUGUAGGAUAAGUGGGAGCCCUUACGGGCGCAAGUGAAAUACCACUACUUUUAACGUUAUUUUACUUAUUCCGUGGGUCGGAAGCGGGGCAUG
rnacentral:ncRNA from 1 species